rnacentral:rRNA from 1 species
UUUAAUGGCCGCAGUAUUUUGACUGUGCAAAGGUAGCAUAAUCAUUAGUUUUUUAAUUAAGAACUGGAAUGAAAGGUUGAACGAGAAAAUAACUGUCUCUUAUUAAAUUUUUUAGAAUUUUAUUUUUAAGUUAAAAAGCUUAAAUUUUUUUAAAAGACGAGAAGACCCUAUAGAGUUUUAUAUAAUUUUAUAUAAAAUUUUGAAUGGGAUAUAAAAAUUUAUAUAAAGUUAUAUUUUAUUGGGGUGAUAGAAAAAUUUAUAAAACUUUUUUUUUAUAAAUACAUUAAUUUAUGAAUUUAUGAUCCAUAUAUUAUGAUUAUAAGAUUAAAUUACCUUAGGGAUAACAGCGUAAUUUUUUUUUAGAGUUCAAAUCGAUAAAGAAGAUUGCGACCUCGAUGUUGGAUUAAAAUUAAAUUUUGGUGAAGAAGCUAAAAAUUUAGGUCUGUUCGACCUUUAAAAUUUUACAUGAUCUGAGUUUAAACCGGUGUGAGCCAGGUUGGUUUCUAUCUUUAAAUAAAUUUAAUAUUUUAGUACGAAAGGACCAAAUAUUAAUAAAAAUUAUUAAAAAUGGUUAAUAUUAAUAU